rnacentral:rRNA from 1 species
GAUGAACGCUAGCGGCAGGCUUAAUACAUGCAAGUUGAGGGGCAUCGCGGGUAGCAAUACCUGGCGGCGACCGGCGCACGGGUGCGUAACACGUAUGUAACCUACCUUAAACUGAGGGAUAGCCCCUCGAAAGAGGGAUUAAUACCUCAUAACAUUGCGAGAAGGCAUCUCUUUGCAAUUAAAGUUCCGACGGUUUAAGAUGGGCAUGCGCGACAUUAGCUUGUUGGUGAGGUAACGGCUCACCAAGGCUAUGAUGUCUAGGGGUUCUGAGAGGAAAAUCCCCCACACUGGUACUGAGACACGGACCAGACUCCUACGGGAGGCAGCAGUAAGGAAUAUUGGUCAAUGGGCGCAAGCCUGAACCAGCCAUGCCGCGUGCAGGAUGACGGCCCUAUGGGUUGUAAACUGCUUUUGUACGGGAAAAAACCCUCGCUCGUGAGCGGGGCUGAUGGUACCGUAAGAAUAAGGAUCGGCUAACUCCGUGCCAGCCGCCGCGGUAACAC